GAUGAACGCUGGCGGCGUGCCUAAUACAUGCAAGUCGAGCGAACGGACGAGAAGCUUGCUUCUCUGAUGUUAGCGGCGGACGGGUGAGUAACACGUGGAUAACCUACCUAUAAGACUGGGAUAACUUCGGGAAACCGUAGCUAAUACCGGAUAAUAUUUUGAACCGCAUGGUUCAAAAGUGAAAGACGGUCUUGCUGUCACUUAUAGAUGGAUCCGCGCUGCAUUAGCUAGUUGGUAAGGCAACGGCUUACCAAGGCAACGAUGCAUAGCCGACCUGAGAGGGUGAUCGGCCACACUGGAACUGAGACACGGUCCAGACUCCUACGGGAGGCAGCAGUAGGGAAUCUUCCGCAAUGGGCGAAAGCCUGACGGAGCAACGCCGCGUGAGUGAUGAAGGUCUUCGGAUCGUAAAACUCUGUUAUUAGGGAAGAACAUAUGUGUAAGUAACUGUGCACAUCUUGACGGUACCUAAUCAGAAAGCCACGGCUAACUACGUGCCAGCAGCCGCGGUAAUACGUAGGUGGCAAGCGUUAUCCGGAAUUAUUGGGCGUAAAGCAUGCGUAGGCGGUUUUUUAAGUCUGAUGUGAAAGCCCACGGCUCGACCGUGGAGGGUCAUUGGAAACUGGAAAACUUGAGUGCAGAAGAGGAAAGUGGAAUUCCAUGUGUAGCGGUGAAAUGCGCAGAGAUAUGGAGGAACACCAGUGGCGAAGGCGACUUUCUGGUCUGUAACUGACGCUGAUGUGCGAAAGCGUGGGGAUCAAACAGGAUUAGAUACCCUGGUAGUCCACGCCGUAAACGAUGAGUGCUAAGUGUUAGGGGGUUUCCGCCCCUUAGUGCUGCAGCUAACGCAUUAAGCACUCCGCCUGGGGAGUACGACCGCAAGGUUGAAACUCAAAGGAAUUGACGGGGACCCGCACAAGCGGUGGAGCAUGUGGUUUAAUUCGAAGCAACGCGAAGAACCUUACCAAAUCUUGGCAUCCUCUGACAACUCUAGAGAUAGAGCCUUCCCCUUCGGGGGACAAAGUGACAGGUGGUGCAUGGUUGUCGUCAGCUCGUGUCGUGAGAUGUUGGGUUAAGUCCCGCAACGAGCGCAACCCUUAAGCUUAGUUGCCAUCAUUAAGUUGGGCACUCUAAGUUGACUGCCGGUGACAAACCGGAGGAAGGUGGGGAUGACGUCAAAUCAUCAUGCCCCUUAUGAUUUGGGCUACACACGUGCUACAAUGGACAAUACAAAGGGCAGCGAAACCGCGAGGUCGAGCAAAUCCCAUAAAGUUGUUCUCAGUUCGGAUUGUAGUCUGCAACUCGACUACAUGAAGCUGGAAUCGCUAGUAAUCGUAGAUCAGCAUGCUACGGUGAAUACGUUCCCGGGUCU
rnacentral:rRNA from 1 species